rnacentral:rRNA from 1 species
CCUACGGGCGGCUGCAGUGAGGAAUAUUGGUCAAUGGACGAGAGUCUGAACCAGCCAAGUAGCGUGAAGGAUGACUGCCCUAUGGGUUGUAAACUUCUUUUAUAAAGGAAUAAAACGAGGCACGUGUGCCUUUUUGCAUGUACUUUAUGAAUAAGGAUCGGCUAACUCCGUGCCAGCAGCCGCGGUAAUACGGAGGAUCCGAGUGUUAUCCGGAUUUAUUGGGUUUAAAGGGAGCGUAGAUGGGUUGAUAAGUCAGUUGUGAAAGUUUGCGGCUCAACCGUAAAAUUGCAAUUGAUACUGGCAGUCUUGAGUACAGUUGAGGUAGGCGGAAUGCGUGGUGUAGCGGUGAAAUGCUUAGAGAUCACGAAGAACCCCGAUUGCGAAGGCAGCUUACUAAACUGUGACUGACAUUGAUGCUCGAAAGUGUGGGUAGCAAACAGGAUUAGAUACCCCUGUAGUC